rnacentral:rRNA from 1 species
AUACGGAGGGGGUUAGCGUUGUUCGGAAUUACUGGGCGUAAAGCGUACGUAGGCGGAUUAGUAAGUUAGGGGUGAAAUCCCGAGGCUCAACCUCGGAACUGCCUCUAAAACUGCUAGUCUUGAGUUCGAGAGAGGUGAGUGGAAUUCCUAGUGUAGAGGUGAAAUUCGUAGAUAUUAGGAGGAACACCAGUGGCGAAGGCGGCUCACUGGCUCGAUACUGACGCUGAGGUACGAAAGUGUGCGGAGCAAACAGGAUUAGAAACCCCAGUAGUCC